UAUGUGGUUUAAUUCGAAGCAACGCGAAGAACCUUACCAGGUCUUGACAUCCCCUGACAACCCGAGAGAUCGGGCGUUCCCCUUCGGGGGACAGGGUGACAGGUGGUGCAUGGUUGUCGUCAGCUCGUGUCGUGAGAUGUUGGGUUAAGUCCCGCAACGAGCGCAACCCUCGACCUUAGUUGCCUGCAUUCAGUUGGGCACUCUAAGGUGACUGCCGGCUAAAAGUCGGAGGAAGUGGGGAUGCCGUCAAAUCAUCAUGCCCCUUAUGACCUGGGCUACACACGUGCUACAAUGGGCGGUACAAAGGGUCGCGAACCCGCGAGGGGGAGCCAAUCCCAAAAAGCCGCUCUCAGUUCGGAUUGCAGGCUGCAACUCGCCUGCAUGAAGCCGGAAUCGCUAGUAAUCGCGGAUCAGCAUGCCGCGGUGAAUACGUUCCCGGGCCUU
rnacentral:rRNA from 1 species